AAAUGGCGGUCAACAGAGGGAUGCAAAACCGUGAGGUGGAGCGAACCCCUAAAAGCCGUCCCAGUUCAGAUCGCAGUCUGCAACCCGACUGCGUGAAGUCGGAAUCGCUAGUAAUCGCGGAUCAGCAUGCCGCGGUGAAUACGUUCCCGGGCCUUGUACACACCGCCCGUCACACCAUGAGAGUUGGGAACACCCGAAGUCCGUAGCCUAACCGCAAGGGGGCGCGGCCGAAGGUGGGUUCAAUAAUUGGGGUGAAGUCGUAACAAGGUAUC
rnacentral:rRNA from 1 species